rnacentral:lncRNA from 1 species
AAGCAUUGUUAGCUGUACAUGUCUACCUGGCAUGGUUCAUCUGACCUUGACCUCAUUUUCAAGGUUCAUUGGUCUAUGUUUAGUUAUCUUGGUUAAUGUUAAGUUUAUGUGACAGUUGUUAUAAAGCUUAGCUUUAUACUUAGGACUAUCAACAUAAUAUCAAUGAUUAGUAUAGAAGGCGAGACAUUUCAGCGCGUGCACUCUUGUU